rnacentral:rRNA from 1 species
UGGAAUGAUUUAUGGUUCAAAUCUAUAUGGCCUCUGGAUUGGACUGCGGCCGAUCAGGCUGUUGGUGAGGUAAUGGCCCACCAAACCUGAAACCGGUACGGGCUCUGAGAGGAGAAGCCCGGAGAUGGGCACUGAGACAAGGGCCCAGGCCCUAUGGGGCGCAGCAGGCGCGAAACCUUUGCAAUAGGCGAAAGCCUGACAAGGUUACUCUGAGUGAUCUCCGCUAAGGAAAUCUUUUGACACCUCUAAAAAUGGUGUAGAAUAAGGGGUGGGCAAGCCUGGUGUCAGCCGCCGCGGUAAUACCAGCACCCCGAGUGGUCGGGACGAUUAUUGGGCCUAAAGCAUCCGUAGCCGGUUCUUUAAGUCCUCCGUUAAAUCCACCUGCUUAACAGAUGGGCUGCGGAGGAUACUAUAGAGCUAGGAGGCGGGAGAGGCAAGCGGUACUCAGUGGGUAGGGGUAAAAUCCGUUGAUCCAUUGAAGACCACCAGUGGCGAAGGCGGCUUGCCAGAACGCGCUCGACGGUGAGGGAUGAAAGCUGGGGGAGCAAACCGGAUUAGAUACCCGGGUAGUCCCAGCUGUAAACGAUGCAGACUCGGUGAUGAACAGGCUUCGUGCCUGUUCAGUGCCGCAGGGAAGCCGUUAAGUCUGCCGCCUGGGGAGUACGGUCGCAAGACUGAAACUUAA